ACGCUCGACACCUACGGGAGGCAGCAGUGGGGAAUAUUGCACAAUGGGGGAAACCCUGAUGCAGCGACGCCGCGUGAAGGAAGAAGUAUCUCGGUAUGUAAACUUCUAUCAGCAGGGAAGAAAAUGACGGUAUCUGACUAAGAAGCCCCGGCUAACUACGUGCCCGCAGCCGCGGUAAUCUGAGCGGGCUGGCAAGGC
rnacentral:rRNA from 1 species